rnacentral:rRNA from 1 species
CCUACUGGAGGCUGCAGUGGGGAAUAUUGGACAAUGGGCGAAAGCCUGAUCCAGCCAUGCCGCGUGUGUGAAGAAGGCCUUCGGGUUGUAAAGCACUUUCAGUGGGGAAGAAAGCCUUGGGGCUAAUACCCUCGAGGAAGGACAUCACCCACAGAAGAAGCACCGGCUAACUCCGUGCCAGCAGCCGCGGUAAUACGGAGGGUGCGAGCGUUAAUCGGAAUUACUGGGCGUAAAGCGCGCGUAGGCGGUCUGAUAAGCCGGUUGUGAAAGCCCCGGGCUCAACCUGGGAACGGCAUCCGGAACUGUCAGGCUAGAGUGCAGGAGAGGAAGGUAGAAUUCCCGGUGUAGCGGUGAAAUGCAUAGAGAUCGGGAGGAAUACCAGUGGCGAAGGCGGCCUUCUGGACUGACACUGACGCUGAGGUGCGAAAGCGUGGGUAGCAAACAGGAUUAGAUACCCGAGUAGUC